rnacentral:rRNA from 1 species
CGGAAAUACGGUCGUAGAGUAUAAAGGACAAAAGACGCGCUUGACUGCGAGACAGACACGUCGAGCAGGUACGAAAGUAGGUCUUAGUGAUCCGGUGGUUCUGUAUGGAAGGGCCAUCGCUCAACGGAUAAAAGCUACCCUGGGAUAACAGGCUUAUCACUCCCAAGAGUUCACAUCGACGGAGUGGUUUGGCACCUCGAUGUCGGCUCAUCGCAUCCUGGGGCUGUAGUAGGUCCCAAGGGUUGGGCUGUUCGCCCAUUAAAGCGGUACGCGAGCUGGGUUCAGAACGUCGUGAGACAGUUCGGUCCCUAUCCGGCGGUCGACGCGGCCG